GAUGAAGAACGCAGCGAAAUGCGAUACGCAAUGUGAAUUGCAGAAUUCAGUGAAUCAUCGAGUCUUUGAACGCACAUUGCGCCCCCUGGUAUUCCGGGGGCAUGCCUGUCCGAGCGUCAUUGCUGCCCUCAAGCACGGCUUGUGUGUUGGGCCUCCGUCCUCCUCCCGGGGGACGGGCCCGAAAGGCAGCGGCGGCACCGCGUCCGGUCCUCGAGCGUAUGGGGCUUCGUCACCCGCUCUUGUAGGCCCGGCCGGCGCUUGCCGACACAUCAAUCUUUUUUCCAGGUUGACCUCGGAUCAGGUAGGGAUACCCGCUGAACUUAAGCAUAUCAAUAAGCGGAGGA
rnacentral:misc_RNA from 1 species